UACGAAGGGGGCUAGCGUUGCUCGGAAUCACUGGGCGUAAAGCGCACGUAGGCGGCUUACUAAGUCAGGGGUGAAAUCCUGGAGCUCAACUCCAGAACUGCCUUUGAUACUGGUGAGCUUGAGUCCGGAAGAGGUGAGUGGAACUGCGAGUGUAGAGGUGAAAUUCGUAGAUAUUCGCAAGAACACCAGUGGCGAAGGCGGCUCACUGGUCCGGUACUGACGCUGAGGUGCGAAAGCGUGGGGGAGCAAACAGG
rnacentral:rRNA from 1 species